AAAAACCAACGUCAGAUACAAAAAAAGGAACACACUUUGGCUUUGGAAAUCAAAGAUAAAAAACAUUCUUAAUUGAUAUCGGCAAACCACAGAUAAGAUCAUCUAAUGUAUCCAUUUUGUUGUGACUUUAACAUAAGACAACAAAAGGAUCCUGAUCUGAAUUCAUCUGAAUGUGACACCAAUCAAACCCAUCUGAAUUCUGAAAUUUUUUGGUGUUGUCAACGUCGUUUUUGC